GCGCGAGUGGUGAAAUUGGCAGACACGCAGGAUUUAGGUUCCUGUGCCUUCGGGCGUGGGGGUUCAAGUCCCCCCUUGCGCACCU
rnacentral:tRNA from 3 species